UAUUUGAUAUCUCAAUAGUGUAUGUUCCACGCCUGCCAUUUGUGGAUGAGUCACUUAUCAAUUACAAUGAACGGGACCUCUUGGGUGAAGGAUCUUUUGGAAAGGUGUAUAGAGGUUCUUUUCAGGGAACCCCAGCUGCCAUAAAGAGAAUUCCAUAUGGCAUAGCAGGACUUGAAGAUCGGGACAUACAGCAUGAGAUUCUCGUCUCACUGCGACUGAGCCAUCCCAAUAUUGUUCGACUCAUGGCAGCAGCCCGCACUGACAACACCUUUUUGCUGGCCAAUGAAUACAUUCAUGGCACAACCUGGAUAAUGUGAUACACAAUGGCAAUGCUUGUGUUAAGUUUGAAGGAAACGACAGUCAUUUUGUUGCCCUUGACAUAUCCAUGGCCGUUGAAUACAUUCACUCAAAAAAUGUCAUUCAUCAGGAUCUAAAGCCUGAAAAUAUUUUG